GAUGAACGCUGGCGGCGUGCCUAAUACAUGCGAGUCGAGCGAACGGACGAGAAGCUUGCUUUUCUGAUGUUAGCGGCGGACGGGUGAGUAACACGUGGAUAACCUACCUAUAAGACUGGGAUAACUUCGGGAAACCGGAGCUAAUACCGGAUAAUAUUUUGAACCGCAUGGUUCAAAAGUGAAAGACGGUCUUGCUGUCACUUAUAGAUGGAUCCGCGCCGCAUUAGCUAGUUGGUAAGGUAACGGCUUACCAAGGCAACGAUGCAUAGCCGACCUGAGAGGGUGAUCGGCCACACUGGAACUGAGACACGGUCCAGACUCCUACGGGAGGCAGCAGUAGGGAAUCUUCCGCAAUGGGCGAAAGCCUGACGGAGCAACGCCGCGUGAGUGAUGAAGGUCUUCGGAUCGUAAAACUCUGUUAUUAGGGAAGAACAUAUGUGUAAGUAACUGUGCACAUCUUGACGGUACCUAAUCAGAAAGCCACGGCUAACUACGUG
rnacentral:rRNA from 1 species